AACGAACGCUGGCGGCAGGCCUAACACAUGCAAGUCGAACGAACCUUUUAGGUGAGUGGCGCACGGGUGCGUAACACGUGGGAAUAUACACAUCGGUAAGGAAUAACACAGAGAAAUUUGUGCUAAUACCUUAUAAUGACUCCGGUCCAAAGAUUUAUCGCCGAUGGAUUAGCCCGCGCUAGAUUAGUUUGUUGGUGAGGUAAGAGCUCACCAAGACUACGAUCUAUAGCUGGUCUUAGAGGAUGAUCAGCCACACUGGAACUGAGACACGGUCCAGACUCCUACGGGAGGCAGCAGUGAGGAAUAUUGCGCAAUGGAGGAAACUCUGACGCAGCCAUGCCGCGUGAGUGAAGAAGGCCCUAGGGUUGUAAAGCUCUUUCAGAUGCGAAUAUAAUGAAGGUAACAUCAGAAGAAGCUCCGGCUAAAUUCGUGCCAGCAGCCGCGGUAAGACACGCGAGACG
rnacentral:rRNA from 1 species